rnacentral:rRNA from 1 species
GAUGAACGCUAGCGGCAGGCCUAACACAUGCAAGUCGAGGGGCAUCGCGGUGCAGCAAUGCACUGGCGGCGACCGGCGUACGGGUGCGUAACGCGUAUGCAACCUGCCCCGCACCGGGGGAUAGCCCGCCGAAAGGCGGAUUAAUACCCCAUGGUCCCGGGGGCCCGCAUGGGCAUCCGGGUAAAGCCUUGGCGGUGCGGGAUGGGCAUGCGUGCCAUUAGCUGGCUGGUGGGGUAACGGCCCACCAGGGCAACGAUGGCUAGGGGGUCUGAGAGGAUGGUCCCCCACACUGGUACUGAGACACGGACCAGACUCCUACGGGAGGCAGCAGUGAGGAAUAUUGGUCAAUGGGCGGAAGCCUGAACCAGCCAUGCCGCGUGCGGGAUGAAGGCCCUACGGGUUGUAAACCGCUUUUCCCCCGGGGAAGAACUAAGCCCCCCGCGGGGGGUCGAGUGCCGGUACCGGGGGAACUAAGGGAUCGGCUAACUCCGUG